UACGUAGGUGGCAAGCGUUAUCCGGAUUUACUGGGUGUAAAGGGUGCGCAGGCGGGACUGCAAGUUGGAUGUGAAAAUCCGAAGCUCAACUUCGGACCUGCAUCCAAAACUGUAGUUCUUGAGUGAAGUAGAGGUAGGCGGAAUUCCGAGUGUAGCGGUGAAAUGCGUAGAUAUUCGGAGGAACACCAGUGGCGAAGGCGGCCUACUGGGCUUUAACUGACGCUCAUGCACGAAAGCGUGGGGAG
rnacentral:rRNA from 1 species